UACGUAGGGGGCGAGCGUUAAUCGGAAUUACUGGGCGUAAAGCGUGCGCAGGCGGUUUUGUAAGUCUGACGUGAAAUCCCCGGGCUUAACCUGGGAAUUGCGUUGGAGACUGCAAGGCUGGAGUCUGGCAGAGGGGGGUAGAAUUCCACGUGUAGCAGUGAAAUGCGUAGAGAUGUGGAGGAACACCGAUGGCGAAGGCAGCCCCCUGGGUCAAGACUGACGCUCAUGCACGAAAGCGUGGGGAGCAAACAGG
rnacentral:rRNA from 1 species